ACUCCUACGGGAGGCAGCAGUGGGGAAUAUUGCACAAUGGGGGAAACCCUGAUGCAGCCAUGCCGCGUGUGUGAAGAAGGCCUUCGGGUUGUAAAGCACUUUCAGCGAGGAGGAAAGGGUGUGUGCUAAUACCAUACAUCUGUGACGUUACUCGCAGAAGAAGCACCGGCUAACUCCGUGCCAGCAGCCGCGGUAAUACGGAGGGUGCGAGCGUUAAUCGGAAUUACUGGGCGUAAAGCGCAUGCAGGCGGCCUGUUAAGUCAGAUGUGAAAGCCCGGGGCUUAACCUCGGAAUUGCAUUUGAAACUGGCAGGCUAAGUCUUGUAGAGGGGGUGAGAAUUUCAGGUGUAGCGGUGAAAUGCGUAGAGAUCUGAAGGAAUACCAGUGGCGAAGGCGGCCCCCUCGNGCAAAGACUAGACGCUCAGAUGCG
rnacentral:rRNA from 1 species